rnacentral:lncRNA from 1 species
UGGCUGAAAAGAAACCAAAUCUGGUUUAGAUUUUGAUAUACACACAAAUGGUGGGUGAACCCUACAUUAUUUUAGGGUAAUCUUCUUGUUGAGUGUUUAGGUUUUUGCCAUCAAUAAUCCUACAUGUGUUUUCUUGUUACUCUCGACCUUUGUCGCCUCUCUGUCAAAGGCUUCUCUUUAUCUUCUAUUGGAUUUGGAUUUCCAUCACUCAAAACCCUUUCGUUGCAACUCAUUAAAUUAAAUGGAAUUCAAGAUUUCAUGUUGCUUCUAGCUGGAUCUCUAAUUCUCGAGGAUCUACGAUUGUCUGAUAUAUACAUUCAUUCUGAGGAAUAGCUUGAUUCUCUUAAAAUUCAAUAGUUUGAAACCUUAUAGCUUACCCAAAUUGACUAAAGCAGAUAUCAGUCAAUGUUUGUAUUCAUGUUAUAUGAUGAAAACAGUCUCUACUUCAUUUCUCUCUGCGUAGAUACAUCCACUUUGUACUAUAACAUAGACUACAAGGUCUGUUUCGUUACGAACAAUUACAUGAUCAACAUGUUGAACAUCGACACAUGUGAUUGGUACCAGGGCCUUCCUUGAGAAUUCGGAGGCUCGACUCUGGAAAUGAAAAGAGGCCAGUGAUAAAAUCAAAACAUAAUUUUUUUUAAAAGAGCAAUGUUCUAUUUAUAUUUUUUAAAAUUUAAAUAAUACAAACAAACUAAUAAUAUAAUCACAUGCGUUAGUGCAAUAGAAAGAGCAGAAAGACGGGCUCGAUGGUGCAUAUCUUUCCGCUAGACUAUAUGUAAAGAAAAUUACCCCUUCAUCACUUUUGGGCUGGAAUUUUCAUUCCAAAAAUACCCUCAAUUUUCAAUACAAUUAACAUUUGUAACAAAUAGAUAAGAAUAAAUUUAAAUAUUAAAAAAAUGAAACAAACACGAUAUGAUUACAUAUAUAUGUCUGUUUUUUUCCUUUAUCAUUUAAAAAGUGUAACAAAUUAGAUGAAUAUAUUUAUACUUACUUUUUCAUUAUCCCAAUUAUAUCAUUAAAAAACAAUUUUUUUCUAUGAUAAAGAUUGUUGUUGGUGUCAUUAAAAAAAAAUUGUAGAUUAUAUUUUUUGUUAUAUUGUUGGUGACGUUGAAAUAGAUAAUCAUGAUUAGUUUUCUUUGUUAUAACUAGAAAGCAACAAACAUUUAUAUUUUUAGUUUUAAUCAAAAUCGAAAUUUCAUAAAAAAAAACACCGUUCAUAAUUUUAAAAGGUUAGCGUAAUAAAAAGAGUGGAAUGACGGGUACGUGGGUGCCCAUCUUUUCGCUAGUUAGAGUCGAGUGUUUGAUGUUACUCCCUCCAUUCCUUUUUAAGUGUCUUUUUAGGAUGAAUUUUUCGUUCCUAUUUAACUGUCUUUUUGCUAUUUUAAGCGUACGAUUUGGCAAUAAUACCCUUUGUCAAUUACUUUUAUCUUUUUUUUGUAAAACUAAUUAAUGCUAUCUAUUUGAAAAAUUAAAGUUUGUUUUUUAAUCAAAGUUUGUUUGUUUUUUUAAAACAAAAUUUGUUUCUUAUUAUCUUUAAAUUUAAACAAAAUUUUGUUCGAAACAGUAGUUUCAAGAAGUGUUAAAAUUCUAUAAAUAAGAUGAGGAACAAUUGUUACAAAUUUCAAGUGUGACUCUAGCAUUAGUUAAAGCCUUAACUUUGAUUAAAGGAGUUGGAAGAAUGUUAAUUUUUUCUUAACUUUUGAUAAAUGUGAAGUUGAAAUAAUUUUUAUAUUGACUUACAAUAAUUAAAAAGAUGUCCCUUCAAAAAAAUAAUAAUUAAAAAGAUGUGCACAAUAUUUAAAAAGUUGACAAUUGUUUGUUAUGAGAGCGAGAGCGCAAAAAAAAAAAAAAAGCAAUUUGUUGGAGAAAAAGAUAAUAAUUUUUUGUUACGGGAGAAACAUAACAUAUUAAAUUUAUUGGAAAGAUAAAGUGUGUGAGAUAGGAAUUUAUUGGUGGAUUAAAAUGAGGGUAUAAUUGGAAGAAAAUGUGCAAAAAUACACAUCGCUAUUUUGGUGUUAAUUUUCUAAAAAAACACUUACAAAUGAACGGAGGGAGUAUUAUUGUAGUUUAACUUUGCUCCCUUGCUGUAUUUUUUGGUUUGGUUUGGUUUUGAUCAACACUUUGUAAUCUUGUUUUGUUUCCUUUGGCACUCCUUGUGCUAGGGACCAAAACAUUUUGUUAAUAUAUCUCAUUUUUUGGCUUGUUAAAAAAAAAACUUUGCUCCCUAUACAAUUGUUGUGUUGGAGAGAGCCUAUCGGUUAAUAUAUAAUCUCAUUUUUUUUCUUGUUAAAAAAAAUAAAAUUAUAUAUAUUUAUAACUCGACAACGGGAUAAAUAUAAUAAUAAAUAAAAAAAAUACUUAAGAAAUUUGUAACAAUAUUUUUUUUUUUAAUAAAGUAACAAUAUUUUUUGUUCUAAAAGAUUUAACCACUUUUUAUUUUAUUAUACAUAAGAUUUGACACACAAAGAUUUAAUAAAAUUUUACCCGACCCAAUCUUGGCUAUUUAAGCAAAACCUUAAAACACUUUUAGGUUAAAAUUUGCUUCCAAAACAGCAUCGUACGUAAUAGAAAUACAGAGCAGGCGGCGAUGGAUAGGAUAGGAAGUUUACCAGACGAUAUUCUGACUCGCAUACUCUCUUCUGUUCCCACCAAACAAGCCGUAGCCACAUCCAUUCUUUCAAAGCAAUGGAUUCAUCUUUGGCGUUACGUUCCCGUUCUCGACUUCACCGAAACCAACUUGGAAGACCUAGAAUCCAUUCGCCGCUUCAAGGAAUUCGUCUCUUCCGUCUUGCUCUCGCGAAAAGCCGCAGGUAAUCAUUCCAUCAACACUUUCAUCCUCGGCAUUCAACGCUAUUCCUCUCGAACUCAUGAACGCCAUUCCUCUCCAAUAACACCAACUUACUACAAUAAUAUGAGUAGGAAACUAACAUUAGCCCCUAGUUUGCCUAUUAGUAUAUUAACUUGUACAACCCUUGUUGUUCUCAAACUCCGUUGGUUUUGGUUCUUUAUGGAUGCUAAUUCUCAUUAUAAUUUUCCCUCACUAAAGACACUACAUUUGAAAGACAUUUACCUUCAUCAUCAACAUGAAUUUACGUUUCUUCUGGAUGCUUGUCCACUUCUUGAAGAUCUUCAACUAUCUAAUAUACACUUUGGCCCUUCCGCUCGUUUCUCUUCUCUAUAUCGUAACCAACAAUUAAGCGGCUCAAGCUUAAAAAGGUUGAACAAAGCAGAUAUAACCGACCAUGAUUGCUAUUUUAUGGUGAAAUCACUUUCAAAUGUGGAGUUUCUACGCAUACAACUAUGCAAGGUUUGAUGAUGCAUGCCAAUGAAAAAAAUAAUGUGAUAAAUUUCUAUUUUUAAUUUUUGCAAAUUUUACCCUAUAUUUUUAAUACUGUUUUUUUAAAUAAUGUAGGGUUAUUGUCCACCUAAUGACUUUUCUACAUUCCAUAAUUUGACUCAUCUGGUGCUCAACUAUAGCUGUGAUAUAAUUGUACAAGUGCUCCACCAUUGCCCUAAGCUUCAAAAUCUUGAAUUUUACGAGGUAUGUGUCUUAAACAUAUUUGAUUUAUCUUUUCAGUCUUGCAUUUUAUAUGUACUAUAAUUUAAAUUGAGUUACGUUUAAGGUUUUUUAUACAUAUAUCAAGAAAUGUAAUGAUGAUGUUAAAGGACGUGUCAGAUUUACUUAACUAAUCUUAUUUACUAUUCGGUUGGAAUGCUUUAUGUACACUCAAUUAAUUAAGGUACAAUUAAAAAUAAAUAAUAAUUGUACAUUAAAAAGUUGAAGUGACAUUUAUUUUAAAACAAUUUUUUUUUGUUCUUAAAAAGACACUCAUUUUUUAAAACAUGGAUGGAGUAUUAUUUUAAUCUAUAAUUACUGAAGUUGCAAGGCACCAAUUGACAGGAUUUCAGCACUACAAGAGGUUUGCAAAAUUGGGUGGAUCCUGAAUCUGUUCCAAGUUGUCUUUCAUUAAACCUUACAACUUGCAAUAUGCGGGACUUUGAUGAAGGCCAACAACGUAAUCGCAUUAUGUUAGCAAGGUUUAUUCUGCAGAAUGCAAGAGUUUUAGAAACUAUGCCAAUCUGGUGCUACAUGAGAUGGCCCAAAGCAGAAAGAGUAUUAUUCUCAUGUCCAAGGGCUUCUGUAACAUGUCAACUUUCAAUUGACUGUGGCUGCAAGUUUACUUUUAUAAGGAAAGGGAAAAGAACCAAGAAGAAUAGAAGAGCUAAGAAUGGAAGAUAAACUUGCAGAAAAGGGUGAAAGGUAUGGCUUCGGAUUGAAACCACAAACAAGAAAAGGAUUCCUUUUCAUUUGUAUUUACUAUAUGAUUGAUCUCUUGUUUGGUUCACAUAAUGUUUUUGUCAUCAUGCUUGAAUGAUGAUGGCAAUCAAAUUACAUCAACAAGAAUAACCAAGCAUUAUCCCACUAUGUUGAGUUAGCUACAUUGAUCAAAUUACGCCAUAAUAUUUUAUCGUAAAUCAUAUUUAGAUUCAACUCAUUAACUUCUAAAUCUUUCCUAAUGAUGGCAAUCAAGUUACACAAAAAAGAUUUUGGUUUCCUACUUUCCUUGAGGAAGUUGUAUGUUAAUACUUAAUACCAUAUUAAUUAUGGAGCAAUAAUAGGUAGACACCCUUAAUGUGUACACCCUUUUGUACCAAUCUGAAAAAUUUCAGUUAACCAAAUAUAUGGUAUGUGUGACCACAUUUUUUAAGUUGCGUGACCACUAUUUUUCCAUAAUUUAUUUGGUUAACUAAGUGGAAAAAUAGUGAUCACGCGCAUUUUUGUUGUGUGACCACAUUUUUCAGCUUCUAAAUAGUGGUCACGCAACUGAAAAAUGUGGUCACACAUAUAACGUGGUCACACAAUUGAAAAAUAACAAACUCGUUGAAGAAGGUAAACACUAAGUGCAUGUUUGGAUUGGCGGGAGUUCAAUAUAAUUUCAGUGUCACCGUGAUUUCGUCAAACAUGUGCUAAGCUAUGAAGCACCACCGCAUACAAGGACACAUUGACACCGGUAAAAAUUUGGAAAAAAUGAAUUAAUUAAACUUAAUCACAUAUUGGACAUAUGAACACACCUUCUAUUAUAAGUAUAAAUGCUACAUAGGUACUAAGUGACCACAAAUAAAUGUAAAUUAUGACUGCUAAUGAUUGUGAUAGUAUACUAGAAAAAUCCAAAUUAGAGACGGGUGAAAUCAGUCUCUAAAAUGCAAAAAAUCCGUCUCUAAACAAGUUAGAGACGGAAUUGGAGCAGGAUUUGGAUCCGUGGUUAAUUUUCUCGUCUCUAAGUCUAUUGGAGACGGAUUUACAGAUUCUGCUCUACCAAACAUGGAAAAAUUCCGUCUCUGAGUCAUAUAUUCCAUGUCUACAAAGAAACCAAAUUCCGUCUCUACAUAAAAUAAAUUCCGUCUCUAACUUCAAUUUUUUAAUUAAAAAAAAUCAACCUAAAGUGCUCUUAAAAAUACAUAAAUAUAGUUUGCAAAUUUGAUCAACAUAAUAAUGUCUCAUACAAGAGAAAAGUACUCUCAAAAAUACAUAAAUAUAGUUUGCAAAUAACUGAAUAAAUCAAAGUAAAACCAUCCAUUACCUAAAAAAAAAAAUAUGAUAAUGAAUCUAAAACUUUCCAAAUCUCUAAAUUGUUGUUACUAUCCCCUCCUUCAUUGACAUUAUCAUUCUCUCAUGCUCUUGACAUGUUCUUGAGCUAAUUGACAAAGCUUCGGACUAAUAUCUAAGCUAAAUAUGUAACUUCCAUCAGCCUGCAAAAUUUAAAAUAUGUGGGUCUCAAGCAUAGUUUUUGUUGUUUUCAAUAAUUAUGCGAAGAAAACAAAGCAAUGUCAAUCAAGCUAGUCAACAAAUUUUCUUUAAUAGUGCUUUAUGUAUAGAACAAUAAACAAUUAGAUUUACGGAAUGACUUACACAACUGAAGAGAAAACUUACAUGUGUAGCAUGGAUUUGGAGGCGGAAAAUCACCUUACAUUCUGUUUUCUCAAUCUUCCCCCAAGUAACCCAGACAUUGUUUUAGUAAGUUAAUCACACAUUUAAGAUGCAUUAUUGCCAAAACUUGAAGUCAUAUUCAAAAACAAUAUAUGUAGUGACAUGAAUGCAAAGGAAGUAAAAAUUAUACAUAAGAUUUAACCACUUUUUAUUUUAUUAUACAUAAGAUUUGACACACAAAGAUUUAAUAAAAUUAUACCCGACCCAAUCUUGGAUAUUUAAGCAAAACCUAAAAACACUUUUAGGUUAAAAUUUGCUUCCAAACAACAACAACUGCAGCGAUGGAUAGGUUAGGAAGUUUACCAGACGAUAUUCUGACUCGCAUACUCUCUUCUGUUCCCACCAAACAAGCCGUAGCCACAUCCAUUCUUUCGAAGCGAUGGAUUCAUCUUUGGCGUUACGUUCCCGUUCUCGACUUCACAGAAACCAACAUGGAAGACCUAGAAUCCGUUCGCCGCUUCAAGGAAUUCGUUUCUUCCUUCUUGCUCUUGCGAAAAGCCGCAGGUAAUCAUUCCAUCAACACUUUCAUCCUCGGCAUUCAACGCUAUUCCUCUCCAAUUCAUGCUCCCGGUGAUAACUACUUGGAUAUGAUGAGAAGAACAACUUACCAUAAUACGUUGAUUAGGAAACUAACAUUAGCCCCUAGUUUGCCUAUUAGUAUAUUAACUUGUACAACCCUUGUUGUUCUCAAACUCCGUUGGUUUUGGUUUUUUAAGGAUGCUAAUUCUCAUUAUAAUUUUCCCUCACUCAAAACACUACAUUUGAAAGACAUUUAUCUUCAUCAUCAACAUGAAUUUACGUUUCUUCUGGAUGCAUGUCCACUUCUUGAAGAUCUUCAACUAUCUAAUAUACACUUUGACCCUUCCGCUCGUUUCUCUUCUUUAUAUCGUAAACAACAAUUAAGAUGCUCAAGCUUAAAAAGGUUGAACAAAGCAGAUAUAACCGAUCAUGGUUGCUAUUUUAUGGUGAAAUCACUUUCAAAUGUGGAGUUUCUACGCAUACAACUAUGCAAGGUUUGAUGAUGCAUGCCAAUGAAAAAGAAUAAUGUGAUAAAUUUCUAUUUUUAAUUUUCGCGAAUUUCACCCUAUUAUUUUAAUAUUGUUUUUUUUUUCUUUCUUUCAAAUGUAGGGUUAUUGUCCACCUAAUGACUUUCCUACAUUCCAUAAUUUGACUCAUCUGGUGCUCAACUAUAACUGUGAUAUAAUUGUACAAGUGCUCUACCAUUGCCCUAAGCUUCAAAAUCUUGACUUUUAUGAGGUAUGUGUCUUAAAUAUAAGAAACUUAUUUGAUUUAUCUUUUCUUUUCUUAUCGUGCAUUUUUUAUGUACUCCAAUUUAAAAUGAUUGACAUUUAAGGUUUUUUUUUAUACAUAUGUCUGAUGAUGUUAAAGGACGUGUCAAUUUUACUUAACUAACCUUAUUUACUAUUUGGUGCAUUGAAAAUAAUGUACACUCAAUUAAUUAAGAGACAAUCAAAUAUAAAAUAAUAAUUGUAUAUUAAAAAGUUUAAGUGAUAUUCAUUUUAAAACUUUUUUUUUUUUUUUUGUUAAAUCGACAUUCAUUUUUUAAAAUGGAGGGAGUAUUAUUUUAUUCUAUUAUUAACUGAAGUUACAAGGCACCAAUUGACAGGAUUUGAACACUACAAGAGAUUAUAAACAAAAUUGGGUGGAUCCUGAAUCAGUUCCAAGUUGCCUUUCAUUAAACCUUACAACUUGCAAUAUGCGGGACUUUGUUGUUGUAGACCAACACCGUAAUCGCAUUAUGUUAGCAAGGUUUAUUCUGGAUAAUGCAAGAGUUUUAGAAACUAUGUCAAUCUGGUGCUACAAGAGAUGGCCUAAAGCAGAAAGAGUAUUAUCCUCAUGUCCAAAGGCAUCUGCAACAUGUCAACUUACAAUUGAUUGUGGCUGCAAGUUUACUUUUAAAAGGCAUAACAAAAGAACUAAGAAUGGAAGAUAAACUUGCAGAAAAGGGUGAAAGGUAUGGCUUCGGAUUGAAACCACCAACAAGAAAAAGAUUCCUUUUCAUUUGUAUUUUACUAUUUGAUUGAUCUCUUGUUUGGUUCACAUAAUGUUUUUGUCAUCAUGCUUGAAUGAUGAUGGCAAUCAAGUUACAUCAACAACAAUAACCAAGCAUUAUCCCACUAAAUUGAGUCGGCUACAUUCAUCAAAUUACGCCAAUCAUAUUUAGAUUAAACUCAUUAACUUCUAAAUCUUUCCUAAUGUUGACAAUCAAGUUACACAAAAUUGAUUUUGGUUUCCUACUUUCCUUGAGGAAGUUGUAUGUUAAUACUUAAUACCAUAUUAAUUAUGGGAUAAUAUCCAGCUUUUCUUAGUAAUGUAGCAACCAUGAAUGGGAAGUUUCUUCCUAAUUUUAAAGGGUGGUGCAAUAGGCAUAGGAAAAUAAGCUUUUGGUUUCUUGGUCACUUUUGCAAUGUGUGAGUGAAGGACCCUUAAAUUGUUAUUAUUAAUAAAAGACAAAUAACAAACACGUUGAAGAAGGUAAACACUACUAAGUGCAUGUCUGGAUCGGCAGGGAGUUCAGUAGAAUUUUGGUGUCGUCGUGAUUUCGUCAAACAUGUACUAAGCUCUGAAGCACCACCUCAUACACGGGCACAUUGACACCGGAAAAAUUUGGAAUGGAACUUAAUCCCAUGUCGGACAUGAACACACCUUCUAUUAGAAGUAUCAAUGCUACUUAGGUACUAAGUGACCACAAAUAAAUGUAAACUGCUAUAAUCAUUGUUGUCAAAAUCCCGACUUAAAUUCUAAAAUUUAGGAUUUUGUGACUUUCUUCACCUUCAACGACUUAAAUCCAUUGUAGAAUCCUAAACUAUGCAAAAUCCAUCGAUUUUGAUUGUGAUUUUACGAUUUCUUAUAUACUAAGUCAUUUAUGACUAUACACCAUUUAUAACAUAUACUUAGGAAUAUUAUUAUUUUUUUAAAUCCAUCGAUUUUGAUUGCAAUUUUACAAUUUCCUAUAUCGAUUCUACAAAAGUUCUUGAGUAAAAUCCUUCGAUUUUGAUUGCGAUUUUAUGAGUACCGAUUUUGCUAUUCCCUUUUGACCUAAAUUAAAGUCUCGAUUUUGACAACCUUUUGGCUAUAAUGAUUGUGUUAGAGAUAUGGAGUCUCUGCAUGUGAUAUGUAGUACAAAGGCUCCAUAUUUAUCAUGGGAUAUACAAAAGUUUGUGAGAAUAACUAUAUAAACAACUUUCAGUUUUUGAAAAGAAACAAAGUAGUUUAUAAACAACUGAAAAUAUGCAACCUAAACAAAAUACUCAGUCCAAAUUAUUUACUUGGAAAUUAGCAAUAUUACUUGCAAAUUCCAUAAGUAUUCCAUUUUAUGUCACAUUAUUGUUAUUGAUGUUCUAGUAGGAUUGUUUAGAAUUGAAAGAGAAAAAGAAAAAAAAAACAGCGUGCUAGACUGAUCUAUUCCCAAGGAAAGCAAGAAUUGUUCAAAUUCUUUAGGGUCUCUUUAUUUUUAUUCGAGGGGAGGUGAGAGGAGGGGAGGAAAGACAAAUCCCUCUUAAACUAAUUUUAGCUCUCCUUCAAAUUGUUUCAUUCAACCAAACUCAAUUUGUUACAAUCCCUCCGCUCCCUCUCCUCCUCUCCCUUGAAUCAAAUAAGACGAUUUUGUUUUGGUUAGAUAAAAGGAUAGAAGGGGGCCCUCUGUGGGGAGUGUUCCCCUGUUGAAGACUCGUGGAGAUGGAACCCAAAUGAAAAGUUUAUGGUUUGGUCUAAAUGAUCAUUUUGAAGAUCUGGUUUUUUUGCCUAUUAUACCUUCACACUUUCUCUGUUCAAUAAAUUUAAUGUGUUAUUUUUUCUCAUAAGAAACAUUUGUUAGUUACUCUCCCUCUCUCCAACAAAUUCAUUUUUGUUUUGGAAUAAUGCUAAGUAUAGCAAACCAAAUUGUCCCAAAGCCAUUGGGAAUGAAUGUUUUUUUUUUUUUUUUUUUUGUACAAAUUGCGAAUGAAUGUUACUGGCUAAAUAGAACUGCCAGCAGGCUUUAUUCCACAAACAUGGGAUAUAAUGACGUGCAAAUUUGUUAAACACGCCUCGGGACAAAUUUCGCUACAUAUAGCACCACUGUGUUUUGUUUUUUCUUUCUUUUUUCAUUCUAUAACAUCUAGGAUACAAUAUGAUAUCGAAACGACAUUUGAUACUUAGAUAUUUAAUAUUACUGACGGAAACAUCAACAACUUACAAUUCAUAACGGCUACAAGUCACAAUACUUGGCUUGACUAGUAAAUAGUUCAAGACUUUGAUAUUUUAUUCAUCUCAAAACAUACUAGUUCAAGACUUUGAUUACUCAGCCAUAUCCUUACCUUUGUAUACAUGUUCAUCUAAAAAUAUAAAUGGGGAUGAGAUCUACUUACUCAUGGAGUUUCUACUAAUUUAUAGUUCUUAUCACUUGAUCAUCAGAUUACAAUAUAAUCAUAAUUCAGACUCAUUAAAUCAAUAAAACUUAAGAUAUUCCAUACAACUUUGCAUGAUAAUAAUUUGUACAUACGAAAAUGACAAUUUUUAUUUUGGUUUUCUUUUUGUUUUUUUGUUUUUUCCUUAACAUGAAAAAGACAGACGUGAGGAUAUCCAACUCAUCAACCCGUCGGUAAGGCGUUACAUAUAAUAAACUAAUACAUUUCCGACUCUUCUCACAUUUAAAUUAUUCGUUUCUUUUAGUUAAUGGUCAAGCGCGACUACUUUUAUCAUUUGAACCUGAACUACUUAUUUUCUUUGUUCAAUUAAUGAACAUAAUCUUUGUAUAUCAGUUUCUGGUAAUCAAGAAAUAACGAACUAUUUGUUUUUGGUUUGUCAUCAGUUUAAAAGAAUUUGGGUUUUGGUUUUGCAAUUGUUGGGUAUAUCUCCAGUGUGCCCUUGCGGUUGUCUGAUCAUGCGUUGUUGUUUAGUUCAUUGAGUGGUUUCUCUAGAAGAAUGUGACUAUCUAUGCAUAUUUUUUUGGUUUGGGUUAUUUGGCGAGAACGAAAUUCACGUUGUUGUCUUUAGCACAAGGAACAGGUAGUGUCUUAAUUUUUUGUGGCUGAAAAGAAACCAAAUCUGGUUUAGAUUUUGAUAUACACAAAUGGUGGGUGAACCCUACAUUAUUUUAGGGUAAUCUUCUUGUUGAGUGUUUAGGUUUUUGCCAUCAAUAAUCCUACAUGUGUUUUCUUGUUACUCUCGACCGCUGGCUUCUCUUUUUCUUCUAUUGGAUUUGGAUUUCCAUCACUCAAAACCCUUUCAUUGCAACUCAUUAAAAUUAAAUUAAAUGGAAUUCAAGAUUUCAUGUUGCUUCUAGCUGGAUCUCUAAUUCUCGAGGAUCUACGAUUGUCUGAUAUAUACAUUCAUUCUAAGGAAUAGCUUGAUUCUCUUACCAUUCAAUAGUUCGAAACCUUAAGCUUACCCAAAUUGACUAAAGCAGAUAUCGGUCAAUGUUUGUUUGUAUUCAUGUUAUAUGAUGAAAACAGUCUCUACUUCAUUUCUCUCUGCGUAGAUACAUCCACUUUGUACUACAACAUAGACUACAAGGUCCGUUUCGUUACGAAUAAUUACAUGGAUCAACAUGUUGAACAUCGACACAUGUGAUUGGUACAUUCAAAUAACUUCAUUUUCUCAAAUUAAUACUAGUGUUAUUGUGUUGUAUCAUGUACUAGUUCUUCAUAUAUCUCAAUUGAAUACUUGAAUGGGAUUGAUGACAAAUAACAAAGCCAAAAUAUGAUUUAUCUGGAUUUUUUUGUUUGUGGAGUUUUGGCUUAAUUUGAUAAUGUGAUUUUUGUUACCUAAUUUAGGUGAAUCGGCUGCAACACUCUUAUGAUGACAUUAUCGUCUUUCAUAAUUUGACCCGCUUGGAACUCCAUAAUUAUUGGAGUUUGGUAUUAUAAGUGCUUCAAUGCCUUAACCUUCAAAAUCUCAAACUU